ACACUCCUGCGGGAGGCAGCAGUGGGGAAUCUUGCGCAAUGGGCGAAAGCCUGACGCAGCCAUGCCGCGUGAAUGAUGAAGGUCUUAGGAUUGUAAAAUUCUUUCACCGGGGACGAUAAUGACGGUACCCGGAGAAGAAGCCCCGGCUAACUUCGUGCCAGCAGCCGCGGUAAUACGAAGGGGGCUAGCGUUGCUCGGAAUUACUGGGCGUAAAGGGAGCGUAGGCGGACAUUUAAGUCAGGGGUGAAAUCCCGGGGCUCAACCUCGGAAUUGCCUUUGAUACUGGGUGUCUUGAGUAUGAGAGAGGUGUGUGGAACUCCGAGUGUAGAGGUGAAAUUCGUAGAUAUUCGGAAGAACACCAGUGGCGAAGGCGACACACUGGCUCAUUACUGACGCUGAGGCUCGAAAGCGUGGGGAGCAAACAGGAUUAGAUACCCCGGUAGUCCCAUG
rnacentral:rRNA from 1 species